GUUACUGUUCCUGGCAUUGAUUGCCUUGGUACAAUACAACCAUGGAGAGUCACACAGGGCUCCUGCUGACAGGGCCUGUAUUGCGAUCAGAUUUUCUGUGCAAUGGCUCCAUACGUA